CGUAAACAAAGGGAAGCGAGGCUGUGAAGCGGAGCAAAUCCCAAAAAUAACGUCCCAGUUCGGACUGUAGUCUGCAACCCGACUACACGAAGCUGGAAUCGCUAGUAAUCGCGGAUCAGCAUGCCGCGGUGAAUACGUUCCCGGGUCUUGUACACACCGCCCGUCACACCAUGGGAGUUGGAAAUGCCCGAAGUCAGUGACCCAACCGGAAACGGAGGGAGCUGCCGAAGGCAGGUCUGAUAACUGGGGUGAAGUCGUAACAAGGUACC
rnacentral:rRNA from 1 species